rnacentral:piRNA from 1 species
UAUGUUGAUUUUAUAAUCAGU